AGUCGUUAAGUAAAUAUGAUAUAAUGUAGAGUAAAACCGGUUAAAAAGAAAUGAUUAAAAAAGAUCAAAGUGAGACAGCAUUUAAAAACAAUGUUUUCAGUGACAGGAAGAGUGAGUACUCAUCUCGCGAUUAGACAAUCUUUGACGUUUUUUCUUCGCUCUGUGAAGCAACAGCUUGCAACGGAAGAAAUUAAGUUUGAAGAGCUCAUGAACAAGCUGUGUUUCUUCUAAAACGUUUGAAGCUCCGGAAACUUUCGUCUUUCUCUAGCUGUGGUGCCACGUUCUCACUGGAUGCUAUGCUUUGCACUUCUUGCCAUGGUCCCGCCCCCUACCUGGCAGCCAAUGGGAGUCGCCUAAUUUUAAAUUAAUGCUCAUUAAUGCACAUCCCUGAUCCCCACCCCAAAAGGUACUGUUGACACGGGACACUGGUCACAGAAGAAGGAAAAACAAAUAUUUUUCAGCAUUUAAGAAGCCACAAUGGCAUUUGCCAUCUACUAUUUCAAGGACAAUGCUGUGGAAGUUGGGAAGAUUUCAUGGAUGAGUCCUGACGACCAGCAACAAUACAACUGUGUCUGAGACAGACAACUUGAGGCACUCGGAGAGUGUGUCUGACCACAGUACACCUUGCUGGGCCUGGCCAGGUGUUUCCACCUGCUCUUUACCCUGGUUCCCCUGACCUCCGGGGUGGCACAACAAUGACUUCGAAAAGAAGGAUGAAGACGUCAAUGCAAUAACAGCACAACCUUUCUGGUGGGCUACUGUUAUGUUAAAUCUUUGUAUGUAGCAUCGUGUUCGAAAUAUUGCAUGUCACAAUGUGGAAACAUGCAGCUUUUAGACUACUACUGUGUACACUGCUUGUACACAGUAUGUACUGGAUACAAAAUAUUUUGCAAAAUUAACCUCUCUUAUUUAAAAUGUAGCUGACUGACAAAUUCAAAAGUAAAUCCACAUAACAAUCCGAACAAUAGUGCAACAAUACUGUAAGGUUUAACAAUGCAAUAUUAUCAUUCAAUAACUAUAAAUUUGAGGAAAUUCACUUGUCAAUGAUUCAUUCAUGACUUACGUACAUAUUACACUUACACGUGAAUCACUGACACUUGAGUCUUUGUUGUGGUAGUGACACUCAAAUUUUCAUCAAGCACCCUUGGGCAGGAAGAGGAAAGGACUGCUGAUUUGAGGCAAGGAUACUGUUACAUACAGUAUGCUGUAAUAUCACUUCCAUUUUAAAGAAAUGGUUAUUGAACGACAUUUAAUCAAUUCUUAUGGUACAUUUUUGAAAAGCAAAACAAGACACUGGUUGGGGAGACAGUUAAAUAGUGUUUUGAAGCAGUAACAAUGACGUAGGUUUCCAGAACUCAGCCCUGAUUUGGAGGUACCUUCUAACUGGAACAAACUGUUUGGGGCAGGGCAUCUUGGAAUUCAUUAACAUCCAAACCCAUCUUGGGUAACAAUCAGGUCACUUUGACCUCCCUAAGUCAUGAAGCCAGUUCGAUUGGAGUUCACUAAAAGAAAAAAGUAAUCUGGAGUUUACAAGAAAAGACUCAUAAUACAGUAUAUUCAAGAUAGAUAUUUACAAUAUUCAAAGAUAAAUAUGAUGUGACAAUCUUUUACUGGGUGUAGUACAUCAUCACCAUCACCACAAAAUAUAUAAUCAGCAUCCUUGAGUUCCCAGAACAGUGUUAUCGAAAUGUAAGGUACAGGUAUUUAUUAGUAUACACAUAUAUUACACCAUGAACCAGGUUUACUACUGUUGUCUGAAAUCCCCUGAGCAAAAGAUUAACUCAUGUUGAAAGUGUUUUUCAGACCCUCAAGGGCUUGCUCCUUUGUGAUUGUCGUCCAGGCAUUUGGAACAUCGGCAGGCUUGCACGCAUACGUUUGAGCAAAUCUCUGAUUGUAGCGUACAAGUACAAACUUCCAGUAAUCAGAAGCUUCUAUUGUGGCAUCUGGAGGAAUGUGCCAGUCAGGAUAGUAUUUUGUGUAGUCUUUGUAUGGAAUCCACAGCUCAGUUGUCCCUUCAAAUAUUCGAAAUAAACGGUCAGUCUGCACAUCAGUUGUACAUAGAGUUUCAACCAGUACUUCAGUUGAAAGGUAUCUGUAUGCUCCAAGCCCCUGUGGCCGAUGCACAGCAGCAUGAUGUUUCUUGUGGUCUUUUCCUCCAGCCUCACAAGGAAUUUUACAAAAUGGGCAAAUGUGUCCGCAUCCAAAUAUCCUCUUGAAGAGCUCAUCCUGUGGUUUCACUGUAAGCCUAUUUAGGGUUUCAGGUAUGUCUUCCAUCUUGGAGAAUUCCACAUGGAGAGUUUCCUUUAACGUGUUCAAGGAUGCAGUAAAGCUUUGUGCGAAUGACUGGCAUGUGGUUUUGAUUUGAAACAAAGCACGGUUUGUAGCAUCCUCUGGUAUCGCAAAGUCUUCCAUCAGAUCAUUCUGCAUUUCAAAGACAAGUUUUGGAACAUUUUCAUUGUCAUCUGAUCGCAUACUUGAGGCCUCCUUCAUUGCCUUCAAUAUUUUGGCAACUACAGCUUCCAGCUUCUUUCGCUUUAAUUCACACAAAAUGUUGUCUUGCAUUUUUUGAACAACCUGCUCAAAUAUCCAGUCCUUAACAUACAUUUCGUACUGAGAGAUGUACUUGACAAAUGCCUCAAAGUCAUCUUUCAGCAGUAACUCUUUCUGAAUGUUGUAGUGGAAACUGGAGCGUGAACUGUACUCUACUGAAUGGCAACUUGUCAAGAUGUCAUCUACAAUGUCAACUCCCAAAGCUCUGUUCAUGUAGUCCUCAAUGGCGGGCUUGAUACAAAACUGGACAUAAUCAUUUGCUUUGCGUUGGCAGUGAUCUGUCUCUUUGUACAAAUCCAGAAAGUCAGACAAGUAUUGGUGCUUGUAUUGUUCCAACUGUGCUCGGGGGUCAUUUUUGCACAAGAAUUUUUGGUGCAUUUUGAGGAAUUUUCUGGCAGCAAUUCCACAAAUAUGAAGUUUGAGGUCAAUCUCAAAUCUUAUGUUUGCGCUAUGAGACCUAUAACCUUUAUUUAGUGAUUCAUCAAUCCUUUGCAACAGAUCCCUUGACAAAGAAUCAUGGUAAUCACCACCUGACUUGGUUUUAUCAACAACAAACUUUGUUGAUGUCUCAAUGACGUUGUCUGCAAACAUCUGUAUGUCUCUUUUCAACAUAUUUUUAAUCUUCUUCAUGACAGAGUCAACAUGGUCAAUUCGUGUCUUAAAUGUGUCCAUUCCAAAGCUUUUCAGGUCUUUGAUGUGCUGUAAGUCCUCGUUAACAUUCCGGUUUGAUAGAUUCCUCUUCAGCUGGGUGAGAACGGAUGCGUGUAUAUCUUUUUCUUUCAGUGCAGGUACAUUGGCAGUAGCAGCAGUCCACAUUUUGUCAAACUCCUCUCGAAGUUGGUCAUCAGACAGUUUGGUGUCUUUGCAGUCGCUCAGAAGCUUCAAGACUCUCUCUUCAAUCCUGCCACAGUACUCCUGUAUUAUGUCCAGUGCCUUUCUCAAAGCUAUCUUUCGCUCGAGCGUUCCUUCCAAUUUAGCAUUGACUGAAUGUUGAAUCUCAUUUGACAGGCCUGUGAUGCAAUUGAAAAAGUCUGCUUUGUAUUUCUCUAUCAGGUUUACAUGUCUGUCUCUCUUUCUGUAAUAAUCGGAGAGUUUGUCUUUCAUUUUGUUUUUUUGUGCUUCUAUUUCUUCAGCUAGUUGUUCUUUUUUGAGCCUGACCAAGGUGGUCCAUGCUUCCAAUCCACCGUCGUUGUUGGCAUUUGCAAC